AGAGUUUGAUCCUGGCUCAGAAUGAACGCUGGCGGCGUGCUUAACACAUGCAAGUCGAACGAGAAAGUGGGCUUCGGUCCAUGAGUAGAGUGGCGCACGGGUGAGUAACACGUGGGUAAUCUACCCCUCAAUUUGGGAUAACAUUGCGAAAGUGAUGCUAAUACCGAAUAACAUCCAUAAAGCUUUGGUUUAAUGGAUCAAAGGUGGCCAAUCCUUGGAAGCUACUGUUGGGGGAUGAGCCCGCGUACCAUUAGCUAGUUGGUAGGGUAAUGGCCUACCAAGGCGACGAUGGUUAGCUGGUCUGAGAGGAUGAUCAGCCACACUGGAACUGACACACGGUCCAGACUCCUACGGGAGGCAGCAGUGAGGAAUUUUGCGCAAUGGGGGCAACCCUGACGCAGCAACGCCGCGUGAGUGAUGAAGGCCCUUGGGUCGUAAAACUCUGUCAGCAGGAAAGAAGUUACAUGUGGUUAAUACCCAUGUGUAUUGACGGUACCUGCAAAGGAAGCACCGGCUAACUCCGUGCCAGCAGCCGCGGUAACACGGAGGGUGCAAGCGUUAUUCGGAAUUAUUGGGCGUAAAGGGCGCGUAGGCGGCCGAACAGGUCAGGUGUGAAAGCCCGGGGCUUAACCCCGGAAGUGCAUUUGAAACCUUUUGGCUUGAGUAUGGGAGAGGAGAGCGGAAUUCCUGGUGUAGAGGUGAAAUUCGUAGAUAUCAGGAGGAACACCGGUGGCGAAGGCGGCUCUCUGGACCAAUACUGACGCUGAGGCGCGAAGGCGUGGGUAGCAAACAGGAUUAGAUACCCUGGUAGUCC
rnacentral:rRNA from 1 species